UUAUGGUUCCUUAGAUCGUUUCUUCCUACUUGGAUAACUGUGGCAAUUCUAGAGCUAAUACAUGCAGUGAGCCUGAAGCCCUUUGGGCGACGGGUGCUUUUAUUAGACCAAGAUCGAUCGGGUUUCGGCCCGUAUUGUGUGGUGACUCUGGAUAACUUUGUGCUGAUCGCAUGGCCACGAGCCGGCGACGUUUCUUUCAAGUGUCUGCCUUAUCAACUUUCGAUGGUAGGUUACUUGCUUACCAUGGUUGUUACGGGUAACGGAGAAUCAGGGUUCGAUUCCGGAGAGGGAGCCUGAGAAACGGCUACCACAUCCAAGGAAGGCAGCAGGCGCGCAAAUUACCCACUCCCGGCACGGGGAGGUAGUGACGAAAAAUAACAAUACGGGACUCUUUUGAGGCCCCGUAAUUGAAAUGAGUACACUCUAAAUCCUUUAACGAGGAUCAAUUGGAGGGCAAGUCUGGUGCCAGCAGCCGCGGUAAUUCCAGCUCCAAUAGCGUAUACUAAAGCUGCUGCGGUUAAAAAGCUCGUAGUUGGAUCUCAGUUCCAGACGAGUAGUGCAUCUACCCGAUGCGACGGCUCGGACUGAACAUCAUGCCGGUCCUUUCUUGGUGCACUUCAUUGUGUGCCUCGAGAAGGCCGGUGCUUUUACUUUGAAAAAAUUAGAGUGCUCAACGCAGGCGAGUCGCCUGAAUAAACUUGCAUGGAAUAAUAGAACAAGACCUCGUUUCUGUUCUGUUGGUUUUUGGAAUACGAGGUAAUGAUUAAGAGGGACAGACGGGGGCAUUC
rnacentral:rRNA from 1 species